CGAUUGACAGAUUGAGAGCUCUUUCUUGAUUCGGUGGAUGGUUGUGCAUCUCAAUUUUUAGUUGGUGGAGCGAUUUGUCUGGUUAAUUCCCAUAACAAACGAGUCUUUUUCCUAUUAAAUAGGUGCGUGGUUUUCUGCACUUUGCACCCUUAUAGAGACAAGCAGCUCCUAGCCGCCCGAAAAAGAGCAAGAACAGGUUUGUGAUGCCCUUACAUGUUUGGGGCUGCACGCGCACUAC
rfam:Ixodes scapularis strain Wikel colony gcontig_1108378477406, whole genome shotgun sequence.